CUAGAUUUGUUGUAGCACAGAAUGAGUCACCUGAACUACUGAACAAAAGAAAGAGAUUUAUUCUGAAUUUACAUCUGCAAGCUGCUCUCCACCAUAAAGAGACACUGCAAUCAUCUAUGAAGAUCCUGCUGUCAUUUGUGAAUUAUGAGAAAUCUGAUUUCCUGCUGGAUCUGUGGUCAAAUGUGAAGGACUAUGAGACUCAAACAGGCAGGAGUGUCCUUCCAGCAUUAAAGUCAGUUUUCCAGUCUGCACCUGAUGUCUGGUCUAUAGAUCUGUCACAGAAAAAGAGCUCAUUCCUCCUAGAAGUGCUGAAACUCCAAACAGAGAAGAAACCAGUAGAGCUGAUAGACUGGACAGAUGAAGAGAGUGAAGUGAAGGGAUUCCUCCAGUGUCUGCCCCACAUCUCACAGCUGAGGAAUGCUGAGCAGUACUUCCCAUCACUAUGUAAAGUGUCCAGUGUCAAGGCAGAUCAGGUGACUCCUCUGCUCCAGGCUUUGAAUUUCACCAUCACUCUGAGUGGAAAAUUACCCAGCAGCACCUGCAGAUCUGUGGGGAGAGUUCUGGGCCUUUCACCCUCAAAAUUAAACCUGACUCUAAAGCCACAAGCCAUCUCUGUCAGAGAACUCAAACUGCUCUUCAAACACAUCAAACACCUGCAGAAGCUGAGUGUGGAAGGCAAAAUGUUAUUGAAGAUGGUCAGAGCACUGAGGUCAUUGAAUGGUUCUUUUACACUGACCACAGAGGAGCUUUCACUGGUCACAAAAGACUCUGAGCAAAAUCUCUCUCAUAUUCUGAGCAGCUUGACGUCUCUUCUGAGUCUGUUGUCUGUCCAGUGUUUGGAUCUUACUGAAUGUAAAUUAGAGGCUCUGUCUCUCACGACCCUGUUGGGUCUCCAGAAACCCCUGACUAUCAGGCUCUCUAAAGAGGUUCUUCAGCAGCUGGUUUCAGUGGUGUAUGAAGCACAGGAUGAUGGACUGGCACGCUCCUUCCUGGAGAAGGUGUCUAAUGAUCUGACUUCCUGCUCACUAAACUGGGAAGUGAUUCAUUACCUGCUGCAACAUCAAAUGCAAAAUAUCAAGUUGGACUUCAGCAAGAGCAAAAUACCUUGUGAAAACAUCAUAGAACUUUUGCCUUGGUUAGGCAGAAUCCAGUGGAAAAGGUUGAGCCCCAGCUUUAAUCUGUCCAUCAUUAUGGAGAUUUACGAGACUCGUUUCCCUCAGUAUGUGUCCAGUCUGAUGACUUCAGCAGGAAAUUAA
rnacentral:lncRNA from 1 species